rnacentral:lncRNA from 1 species
AGGAAAUGAGAGGAGUUGAAGAUGUUAACCUGGAGGGGAAGGAGUCAGGCUAGAGGGAGCUCCGGAGAAGGUGUCCCGAGAGCAUCUGCAGAGGCCUCUGAAUCGCCCUCGCUCCGUGGAAAGCUUGUGUUCUGGGCCAAGAUGGGAUGUCUGGGACUGGGAUUCAGGACCAGGCCCUGCAAGGCCCUGCUGUGCAGUGCCCAGCACCGCCCGGUCCACGGAAGACCUUCAAUAAAGCUGUUGAGAAGCUUCAAGAACUAAUGGACAGACUAGAGAAGCGGGUUUGGAAAACAGAAGGACUCACUCAUGUGCAAAGAUAACACAAAAAGAUGUCCAUUGAAGCUUUGAUUGUGAUAGAAAACAAAGUGGGAAUGCUGAAAUGUCCAUCAAUCGGGUCAAACACAUUACAGCGCAUCUCUACAAGGAAGCAAAACUUUUCUCCAUGACAACCAUCUCCAUAUUUCGAGAUGUCACAUUCUACCAUAAAGAUACAAAGCAAGACUGGGGCUAUUGAGGAAUUCAUGACUCAAGUGUGCAAAUCCUUUCUUGAAUCCAAAGGAAAAUAUCUUGCCGCUUUCAUAUGCUGCUUUGUAAAUGCCAAAAAGAUAACGAGAAAAGCCACUUUUUUGAGGAUACGGG